AGUGGAAAUCAAAAUGAUCGUUCUCAGGAUAACAGAAAGAUUAGGGUAGAGCUAUAGGAAAGAAUAUCAAAUGACAGACAAUCAACUUGUUUAAUGCCCGUUUUGAGUCAUGAUUUUGUCUGGUAGGCCAAUAGGCCAAUCCAGCAGUUUUUUUUAUUUUGCUGCGAAAUCAAUUCCCUGCUAAACAAAGCUAUAACGAUACGCGGAGGAGCUACAUUUUACUUCACAGCUUUUGUUGAAUUGUGUAGGUGGCUUUCGCAGUUUGUCGCUCUGUAAACAAUAGUAUUUGAUUAGACUUGUUAAUUAGCGUGCAAUGAUAGAUGAAUACACCUCGAAUAUGUAGUUGUGACGUCUGACUUCGAGGAAUUACAAAAAGCAUCUGGACAGCGAGAUGGAUCAACAGAAAGACUAUAUGAAACAAGCAGCGUGAAAGGGUCUGUCUUAACUGAAACCCAAUAACGAUAUUGGUCAACCUGAGACUUUGGAAGGAAAAAGGAUCUCUUCUCCAUGCUAAGAUGCUGGCUUCUUCAGGACUAAGAAAUGCAUCUGAGGUAUCAUGUUUGGCGAUAGUAGAGCUCCAGUAACGAUGCCUAAACCCAAGCCUGCACCCCUUGGGGAAGAAUGGUUUACUCCACUGUCGUUCCCCCUGUGGAGGCAGGGGAGACCAACAACGCCAGCCUCUGCUGCCUCGUCAUGAGGCUGCUGAACCUCUCUGACCACCUCCUCCAGGGCCAGCCUGACAUGGAAGACAUGUCCAUGCAAAACAGCUCCAAUGAUGUCUCCUGGUCACCUCUGGACCUGGUCACAGUCACACCAACAUCUGAGGCCCAGGAUAGUGUGCAGGGCGUCAGCCUACCCCUCCAGGUGUUCUUCUGCAUGGCCAUGGUCUCCAUCCUGCUGGUGGCCUUCCUGGGGAACGUUGUGGUGGUUCUGAUGGUCUACCAGCGCGCUGCCAUGCGAUCCGCCAUCAACAUCCUAUUGGCCAGCCUGGCCUUCGCAGACAUGAUGCUGGCUGUCCUCAACAUGCCCUUCGCCCUGGUUACUGUGGUGACCACACGCUGGAUCUUCGGGGAUGUUUUCUGCCGAGUGUCGGCAAUGUUCUUCUGGCUCUUUGUCAUAGAGGGCAUGGCUAUCCUGCUUAUAAUAAGCAUAGAUCGGUUCCUGAUCAUAGUCCAGAAACAGGACAAGUUGAGUCCCCACAGAGCCAAAGUGUUCAUAGUCAUCACUUGGACUCUCUCCCUCUGUUUCUCUUUCCCACUAGCCACAGGUCACCCUUCUCUCCAGAUCCCCUCUAGAGCUCCACAGUGUGUGUUUGGCUACACCAGUGAGCCGGGGUACCACGCCUACGUGUUGCUCCUCAUGAUGGCCUCCUUCUUCAUCCCCUUCAUGGUCAUGUUGUACACUUUCAUGGGGAUCCUGAACACCAUCCGGCACAACGCUGUGCGCAUCCACAGCCACCCGGACAGCAUCUGCCUUAGUCAGGCCAGCAAGCUGGGCCUCAUGAGCCUGCAGAGGCCCUUCCAGAUGAACAUAGACAUGAGCUUCAAAACACGUGCCUUCACCACCAUACUCAUCCUCUUCUCGGUGUUCACCAUGUGCUGGGCGCCCUUCACCGCCUACAGCCUGAUUUCCACCUUCAGCAGCCCCUUCUACCACAAGGCCAACUUCUUUGAAGUCAGCACCUGGCUCCUUUGGUUGUGCUACCUCAAGUCGGCCCUCAACCCUCUCAUUUACUACUGGCGGAUCAAAAAGUUCCGCGAUGCCUGCCUUGACCUGAUGCCCAAGUACUUCAAGUUUCUCCCUCAGCUGCCCGGCCACACGAAGCGGCGUAUCCGACCCAGCGCUGUGUAUGUGUGUGGGGAGCAUCGCUCUGUGGUCUGACUUGGAGGACACGGACUUCACUGCCAUUUGCUCCUGUGGACUGUCUACUAGCAAGAUACGUAAUUUCCCAUGCACCCUUGAGUCAUCCCGUCAGCUCUCAGAGAUGGUGAGCGACAAGAGAAAGGAGAUGGAUGGCCGAUGAAAAGCGAUGGCGAGCAACAAGACAAAGGAAAUGGAUGGCCUUCGAACAGAGAUGACGGGCGGUCCACUGACUUGAUUACUAGAGUAGGGGCUAAAGAUACAAAAUCCACUGAAACCUUGGACUGGAGAAGAAAAAAAAUGACAGUUAACUUUCGUGCUUGGGCCCAGGCUCUACUUCAUGCACAUAUCUCAUCCAGCUUGAGCUCUUGGUUGUUUCCAUGGCAAUCAGUGGCACGUGCCUGUGGAUAGACUUGUGUAAGGCAUGUAUCCCUCCUUAGGUCGGGUCUAUGUGAAAAUCACCCAAGACAGACUCCCUCAUCUCUGUGGUGGCGUACUGUCAGUCAAGUAGACCUAUAGCAGUCAGGUGUUCGACUGCAACACAGAUGAUCUGCAGCAAUCAGAAAUAAUUACUAUGCAGCUAGAACCUGUAGGUUCUGUCACAUUGCUUGCAUCCAUCCUUAAUCAUCAGAUCAGUGUAGAUGAAGGAAAGGAAGACACUUUACAAUAUUGAGAUGCACCCACCAUCUACAGUAUGCUGCCAGGGGCUUUACUAAAGAUCAGCUGACAGACAACUACCACAUGGUAGAAA